UACGUAGGUGACAAGCGUUCUCCGGAUUUACUGGGCGUAAAGGGAGCGUAGGCGGAUAAUUAAGCGGGAUGUGAAAUACCCGGGCUCAACCUGGGUGCUGCAUUCCAAACUGAUUAUCUAGAGUGCAGGAGAGGAGAGUGGAAUUCCUAGUGUAGCGGUGAAAUGCGUAGAGAUUAGGAAGAACACCAGUGGCGAAGGCGACUCUCUGGACUGUAACUGACGCCGAGGCUCGAAAGCGUGGGGAGCAAACAGG
rnacentral:rRNA from 1 species